CACGUAGGGGGCGAGCGUUAUCCGGAAUUACUGGGCGUAAAGGGCGUCUAGGCGGCUUGUUUAGUAUGGCGUGAAAGAUCUCGGCUCAACCGAGGGAACGCGCUGUAAACUGGCAGGCUAGAGACUUGGAGGGGUGCGUGGAAUUCCCGGUGGAGUGGUGGAAUGCGUUGAGAUCGGGAGGAACACCUGAAGCGAAGGCG
rnacentral:rRNA from 1 species